rnacentral:lncRNA from 1 species
CAGGAUUAAAAUAUGAAAUGGUCUUGGGGUAGAAACUAGGAUGCACCUGCUCCUCAUUUCUUGCUUCCACCUUUUACCAAUUCUUAACUUACAAAUGGAAGACAGCUCAGAGUAGCAAGGGCAGGUGAGAUGACGCAGUGGAUACAGGCACUUGCCACGGUAGUCUGCUGACCUGAAUUUGACCCCCCAGAACCCCACUGAAGACAGAACACUCCACAGAGUUGUCCUCUGAAUUCCACAUGUGCACCGUGGCAUGUGUGCUCCUACACAUACAUACAAUAAUAAUAAUUAAAAAAAAUUUUUUAAGAUCUCAAUAAUAGUGACCACCAGCUACAACAAUAGCUUGUGGAUUAUAGAUCUAGCCCAAAGGCUUUUAUUCUUUUAUUCCAUGGGUUAAAUGACUGACCUUGUUCAUGGUAGAGCAAUGAAGUGAGGAAAAGAACUUGCUCAAAAACAAUACGGUUCUAAGAUCAUUGGAUAACCUUUGAGGGCCUUAUUCUUCUCAUCUAUGAGAUAGAAGUACUUGUGAGUUGAGAAACAGGAGAAUCGAUGCAUACCUAGUAUACAGAGUAAGACCUUGUCUCAAAAGAAAGCAGGAGGGAAUGAAUACUAGAGAGGUGACUCAGAAGUUAAGAAUGCUUGCUGCUUGGAGAGGAUCUGGGUUGGGUUUCCAGUAACCAUCUGGUGGCUUACAACUGCCUGUACUCCAGUUAAGGAAUUUGCAGCCCUUUUCUGGCCCUCACAGGCACUGUACACUUGUGAUGCACAUAUGCACAUGUAGGUAAAACAUCCAUACAUAUAAAAUGAAAACAAGUCUUUUAAAAAAAAAAGAAUAAUUAAAAAAAAAGUAAGAUUGAGAUGCCUGUCCAGCCUACCUCACAGGGAUGUUGUGAGGGUAAAAUAAGCUAUGAAACUAACUUGAAAAAAAUCAUUAAAAUCUUACACAAAUGCAAGGUGUUAUUUCUAUUCUUACUGUUGGCUCUUGGCAACUUUAUGUUCUAAACUUUUUUUAAUCCUUGCAUAUUGGAAAUGCAAAACUGGUCUGGUCCAGCAAAAGCGUUCACUAGUUCAUCUUGCCUGUAGACCUGUACCACAAACAGAACACCGUGAUCUCUAUUCUUUCUUAUUGGCCUGCAACAGUGACUCUGGAGCCUCAUUCGAGUGGCUGGCUAUUGCAAGGCCAGUUAAUAGGAUCUUUUUUCUAUGGAAGACAGCAAAGUUUUGCACAAGAGGAAGGAGCUGGGCUGCAGGGAGAGAGCAGCAGAUGGAAUGAAGCCUGAUUGUCCUGAUGUCAUGGAAAACAACUGUCAGGAGGUGCUAGGGAACUAGUGCCAGGGUCAGUCUGCAGGAAAGGCCUUUCUUGUAGGGACCAUCAACUGGACAGGUAUGUUAGCCAAGAACCUCACUAUCCUGCCCUUUCUGCCUCUCCCACCUUCCGUUCUCUCUACCUCUAACUUCACACAGUUGAGCCUGGGUGGGAUGACUGAUAGUCAUUCUGUGGGGCCCCAGGUGCACUUGGAGGACCUUGAAGACAGCUCUCUCACAGCUCCACUCACAAAGUACCAGUGUUCUUUUAGCCACUCUGUGGGAAAACAGGAAAUCCCUUCCACCUCAUCCCUUUGGUACUCUCUGCAGAUUCUUUGCCCCAAGAAAUCAAAUCCCCAGCAUUCCUGUUGUUCCUCGUCUCUUCCUGUGUCAGCAGCUCGCUCACGUUUCCUUCCUUUCUCUGAUGUUGUCUAGGAUGGGGGAACCAGGGGCCGCCGCUGUGCCAUCGAAGCGGAUAUGAAGAUGAAGAAGUGAGCGCCCGCCCUCUGAGCUGAGCCUGAAGUAGAAAUGAGGUGUGGAUAGCCUGAGCCCCGGCUCAGUUCCACACUUGAUCUUAGUCAAAAGGCUGAGGAGCAGUGAGUCCAGAAGCGGAGUUACAGAAGAGGAGGCUCCCAAGCCACAUGACAUGAGUUGAGAAAAUCUCUCUUCAGAGAGUUGGAGUAGCGCAGUUGCCUGUUUUAGGGCAGAAAUCAUGGGCUGUGUUAAUGCCCUAACGUGUAACUAGCAGAUUGUAGCUAAUUUGUACUGUCUUGUGAAGUGUACAGAUUUUUUUUAAAUAAUAAUAAACCUGUGAAGUGUGUGUAUAUAACAAUCAGAAGG